rnacentral:rRNA from 1 species
CAAUAGCGUAUAUUAAAGUUGUUGCAGUUAAAAAGCUCGUAGUUGGAUUUCUGGUUGAAGCGACCGGUCGGGCGUUGAUUCGUCUGCACUGGAGUCGGUUUUGGCCAUCCUCUAGGAAAGUGCGUCUGGUAUUAAGUUAUCGGGCGUAUGAUCCUGGUCUUUUACUGUGAAAAAAUUAGAGUGUUUAAAGCAGGCCUUCGCCCUGAAUACAUUAGCAUGGAAUAAUAAGAUAGGACUUUGGUCUAUUUUGUUGGUUUGCAGACCGAAGUAAUGAUUAAUAGGGAUAGUUGGGGGUAUUUAUAUUCCGAUGUCAGAGGUGAAAUUCUUAGAUUUUCGGAAGAUAAACUUAUGCGAAAGCAUUUACCAAGGAUGUUUUCAUUAA